rnacentral:lncRNA from 1 species
ACUGGUGAUCUCAGUACAGACAUCAUGAAUGCAUCAUUUUUUUUCAGGUAACAGAUUCCUUGCCCCUUUGCCUGUGGGCACAGGCAGACCCACCUCAGCAGCUGCACAGGUUUCUCUGCAGCAGAUUUCUCCACCAAAGACCUCCACAUGGGUGAUAGUGGGGGCUUCAGUUCCUUGCUGUUCCAACAUCUUCUGUGAAGGAGUCUUCCAAAGAAAUCUUGAAAAAUGGUGCCAAGUCCAUAGGUGGAAUUAAUCCCCAGCAUUAGCCAUGCUAGACCCAAUCCACUGGACACCCCAAAGAAGGAACUUUUGGAAACGACUGCGAUGUUGCUUCAGAUCCUGCUGCCAGUGCCUCGCUGGUGGUACUCUUCCAAUUGCCACUCCUACAAGUGGGAGGAGCAGCUUUAGGUCCACACCUGAUAGUCCUGGUGAGGUACAUCCAGGAGAGAACAUAACUUUUACCCUCAACAAGGGCUGGAGCUGCAGCUUCAGCUCCAACUCCAUGUGCAGGGAGGAAUAUCCAGAGCCAAGCACCACUGGGCAGGAGCUGGGCCUCAGGGAAUACUCCCUGGGGGACCUGGAGGACACCCUGGAGCCUGCCUUCUUUUAUGAUUCAUUCUCUUCGGCCUCAACUAUCUCAAGUUCCUCCAUACAACAAGAGGUGUACCAAAUGUUGGGAAGGUCACUCUCACAUGCCCCGAGGUGGAGGACCAAGGACACCAGGUCCCAGCCUUGACAGAGAACCUGGAGCCCAUGGAGGAACAGGCUGAAGCCGCUCUGGUGCUUGUGGAAGCUUCCGUUCGAGGUCCACCACCUCCACCAUCUGAUAGAGAACUGGAGCUGGAUGAACCUGCAGUGGACUAUCAAGGCCAACACCCCCUGCUGGCCCUUCAGUCAGCACUGCAUCUAGUGAGGAACCCACAUCCUCUGUUCUUCUCCCAGAUCAUUUGGUUAUUCGUUUUUAUUGUUUGUAUUUAUUAUUUUAGUAUUAUUUAAAAUUAAAGACUUGUUUUCAUUGUUAAAAUUCUCAGUUAUGUGCCAUCAAGUGCCUUC